GUUCGAUUCCGGAGAGGGAGCCUGAGAAACGGCUACCACAUCCAAGGAAGGCAGCAGGCGCGCAAAUUACCCACUCCCGGCACGGGGAGGUAGUGACGAAAAAUAACGAUACGGGACUCUUACGAGGCCUCGUAAUCGGAAUGAGUACACUUUAAAUAUAUUGGAGGGCAAGUCUGGUGCCAGCAGCCGCGGUAAUUCCAGCUCCAAUAGCGUAUACUAAAAUUGUUGCGGUUAAAAAGCUCGUAGUUGCAUUUGUGCGCCGCGCUGUCGGUGCACCGCAUCCGCGGUGAUACUGACACGUCUGCGGAGCAUAUCGUCGGUGAGCCGGCGGUAAUACGCCGGUUCAUUAUCAAAAUCCUAUCGCGGUGCUCUUCGGUGAGUGUCGAGGUGGGCCGACAAUUUUA
rnacentral:rRNA from 1 species